rnacentral:rRNA from 1 species
AUUGAACGCUGGCGGCAGGCCUAACACAUGCAAGUCGAGCGGUAACAGGAGAAAGCUUGCUUUCUUGCUGACGAGCGGCGGACGGGUGAGUAAUGUAUGGGGAUCUGCCCGAUAGAGGGGGAUAACUACUGGAAACGGUGGCUAAUACCGCAUAAUGUCUACGGACCAAAGCAGGGGCUCUUCGGACCUUGCACUAUCGGAUGAACCCAUAUGGGAUUAGCUAGUAGGUGGGGUAAAGGCUCACCUAGGCGACGAUCUCUAGCUGGUCUGAGAGGAUGAUCAGCCACACUGGGACUGAGACACGGCCCAGACUCCUACGGGAGGCAGCAGUGGGGAAUAUUGCACAAUGGGCGCAAGCCUGAUGCAGCCAUGCCGCGUGUAUGAAGAAGGCCUUAGGGUUGUAAAGUACUUUCAGCGGGGAGGAAGGUGAUAAGGUUAAUACCCUUGUC